UUAGUUUGAUCCUGGCUCAGAACGAACGCUGGCGGCGCGUUUUAAGCAUGCAAGUCGAACGGUAGCAGGGCUUCGGCCCUGUGAGAGUGGCGGACGGGUGAGUAACACGUGGGUGAUCUGCCCUUGAGUUGGGGAUAGCCCAUGGAAACAUGGGGUAAUACCGGAUACGUUUGGGAGACUGUGGUUUCCUGAGGAAAGGCGCUUCGGCGCCGCACGAGGAUGAGCCUGCGGCUGAUUAGCUAGUUGGUAGGGUAAGAGCCUACCAAGGCGACGAUCAGUAGCCGGCCUGAGAGGGUGAACGGCCACACUGGGACUGAGAUACGGCCCAGACUCCUACGGGAGGCAGCAGCUAAGAAUCUUCUGCAAUGGACGAAAGUCUGACAGAGCGACGCCGCGUGGGUGAAGAAGGCCGGAAGGUUGUAAAGCCCUUUUCUAUCCGAGGAAUAAUCAUCGGAGGCAAUGCCGGUGAGAUGACGGUAGGGUAGGAAUAAGCCCCGGCCAAUUACGUGCCAGCAGCCGCGGUAACACGUAUGGGGCGAGCGUUGUUCGGAAUCAUUGGGCGUAAAGGGCGCGUAGGCGGAUAUGCAUGCUUGGUGUGAAAUCCCGCAGCUCAACUGCGGAGGCGCGCUGAGAACUGCGUAUCUAGAGUUCAAGAGGGGAAGCUGGAAUUCCUGGUGUAGGGGUGAAAUCUGUAGAGAUCAGGAAGAACAUCAGUGGCGAAGGCGAGCUUCUGGCUAUGAACUGACGCUGA
rnacentral:rRNA from 1 species